GAGCAAAGGCGUCUGAUAAUAUAAAUAUCAAAUGGCUCAAUUUGCAUUGAAGGUUGGCAACAUGAAUGAGUGAUUCUCCGUGCCUCUCAAUCUUUCUCCAUUUUGAAUAGGCCUCGAACAAGUCCCCACAUU